ACUCUGGGAUAAGCGUUGGAAACGACGUCUAAUACUGGAUAUGACUGCCGGCCGCAUGGUCUGGUGGUGGAAAGAUUUUUUGGUUGGGGAUGGACUCGCGGCCUAUCAGCUUGUUGGUGAGGUAAUGGCUCACCAAGGCGACGACGGGUAGCCGGCCUGAGAGGGUGACCGGCCACACUGGGACUGAGACACGGCCCAGACUCCUACGGGAGGCAGCAGUGGGGAAUAUUGCACAAUGGGCGAAAGCCUGAUGCAGCAACGCCGCGUGAGGGAUGACGGCCUUCGGGUUGUAAACCUCUUUUAGUAGGGAAGAAGCGUAAGUGACGGUACCUGCAGAAAAAGCACCGGCUAACUACGUGCCAGCAGCCGCGGUAAUACGUAGGGUGCAAGCGUUGUCCGGAAUUAUUGGGCGUAAAGAGCUCGUAGGCGGUUUGUCGCGUCUGCUGUGAAAUCCCGAGGCUCAACCUCGGGCUUGCAGUGGGUACGGGCAGACUAGAGUGCGGUAGGGGAGAUUGGAAUUCCUGGUGUAGCGGUGGAAUGCGCAGAUAUCAGGAGGAACACCGAUGGCGAAGGCAGAUCUCUGGGCCGUAACUGACGCUGAGGAGCGAAAGCGUGGGGAGCGAACAGGAUUAGAUACCCUGGUAGUCCACGCCGUAAACGUUGGGCGCUAGAUGUAGGGACCUUU
rnacentral:rRNA from 1 species